UGGGGGAUAGCCCGGCGAAAGCCGGAUUAAUACCGCAUACGCUCUACGGAGGAAAGGGGGGGAUCUUAGGACCUCCCGCUACAGGGGCGGCCGAUGGCAGAUUAGCUAGUUGGUGGGGUAAAGGCCUACCAAGGCGACGAUCUGUAGCUGGUCUGAGAGGACGACCAGCCACACUGGGACUGAGACACGGCCCAGACUCCUACGGGAGGCAGCAGUGGGGAAUUUUGGACAAUGGGCGAAAGCCUGAUCCAGCAAUGCCGCGUGUGUGAAGAAGGCCUUCGGGUUGUAAAGCACUUUUGUCCGGAAAGAAAACCUCCGCCCUAAUAUGGUGGGGGGAUGACGGUACCGGAAGAAUAAGCACCGGCUAACUACGUGCCAGCAGCCGCGGUAAUACGUAGGGUGCAAGCGUUAAUCGGAAUUACUGGGCGUAAAGCGUGCGCAGGCGGUCCGCUAAGACAGAUGUGAAAUCCCCGGGCUUAACCUGGGAACUGCAUUUGUGACUGGCGGGCUAGAGUAUGGCAGAGGGGGGUAGAAUUCCACGUGUAGCAGUGAAAUGCGUA
rnacentral:rRNA from 1 species